GUUUUUAGUACAUUAAUGGAUCUUGAGAGAGGAAAUGUCAUUGCUGGCUAUGCACUCCUCACUGAGCCAUCGGAUUUCAACAAAAAUAUCUUAAUUUGUGUUCUGAAGAUUAACGAAGGUCUUACGGGUGUGGAACGGCAUGAGGCAUCUCAGUCGGUGAUGGCUUUUAACAUUGAUCCUGUUACCUGGAAAACUUUCACUGCGUCUUCACAGAGUCAAAAUGUUGCCUUUGGCUAUAAGGUGAUACAGAAAGAUGAAUUGAGUCUAUUUGUGAGUGAUCCUUUAAUACAACUCAGUCAAACUCUGAGAGGACAAAUAUAUCGCUGUGCUGUCACUGAAGGAAACUGCAUGCCACUGCCCAUUACCGUCACCAAUGAGGCUGUCAACAUGUCCCUUGGACUUUCAAUGUCUAUUGAUCCUCAGUCUUCAAGAGCAGUGGUUUGUGGUCCAACCAUACCUAAGAACUGUGAUGAAAUAACCACUUACAAUGGCAUGUGCUUUAAAAUCAGUCCAGAUAAUGUUGUGAGCAGAUCUGUGCCAGAGACUCUGAGAGCUUCAGAAUGCCCAACAUCACAAAUUGAUAUUGCUUUUUUACUGGAUGGAUCUGGAAGUGUAAAACCUCUGGAGUUUAUUAAGAUGAAGGAUUUUGUUAUAGAAAUGAUCAAAAGUUGUAUAGACCGUGAUACACAGUUUGCCAUUGCACAGUUUUCUACACAAUCUGUCAUUCAUUACAAGUUUCAACAAGUAAAAAAUGCCAUGUGGUGGCAAGAUGCAGUGAAUCAGAUAUCUCAACAGAGAGGAUGGACCUACACCGCAAGAGCUAUAGGACAACUUGUUAAAGAGUUAUUCGAAAGUAACGGAGGUGCAAGACCAUCAGCCAGUAAAAUUUUGGUUGUUAUCACGGAUGGUGAAUCAACUGAUCCAGAUGAUUUGACUGCAGCUGUUCAACAAGCACAAGCUAAAAAUAUAACACGAUAUGCUAUUGGGGUUGGCAAUGCUUUUAAUAGUGACAGAGCAAGAAGGGAGCUGGAAAUUAUUGCAUCUUCACCCUCCAAUAAUCAUGUGUUCCAAGUAACUGAUUUUGAUGCGCUGGAAAGCAUUCGUGAAAAACUCAAAGAGAACAUUAUUGCCAUUGAAGGAACCCAGACCUCUGGAGAUUCAUCUCGAAUGGAGUUUGCACAGGACGGGUUUAGUGCAGCAUUUACAUCAAAUACAGAUAUGAUAAUGACUGCAGUGGGAGCUUUCCAGUGGAAGGGUGGAUAUCAAUUGUACAAACCAAAUGAUACGUCAGUUGACUUUCAAGCUGGAAGUGGGCAUGACAGUUAUUUAGGUUAUUCUUUGGCAAUAGCAACAACGUACAGAGGAAAGUAUGCAGUAAUGGGAGCACCAAGAAACGAGCAUAAGGGACAAGUAACUGUUUCAAGAAUUGAUGGAAAGGACUUAAAGCAGCUGGAUCCUCCUAAGCCUCAGAUUGGCUCAUAUUUUGGAGCUGAGGUGUGUGUGGUGGAUUUGAACCGUGACUCCAAUACAGACCUACUUUUGGUAUCGGCACCAACAUACAUGGAGUCUGACCGGGAGGGCAUAGUGUUUGUUUACAUCUUCACACAUCGGGCAAACAUCAUUUUUUCGGAUACACUGGUGGGCAUGGCAGGUCAGAGGGGUCGGUUUGGCUCUUCUCUGGCCAGUCCAGCAGAUCUGAAUGGUGAUGGUUUCAUGGAUGUGCUGAUUGGAGCUCCUUUAGAGGAUGAUGGACAGGGCAGCAUCUACAUCUUCAAUGGGAGAGAUGGAGUUAUCACUUCAAAAUUCUCACAGAGGAUUGUUGGAUCAUCUGUGCGACCAGGUUUGCGGUUCUUUGGGAUUUCAUUGAGUCAGUCUUCUCUAGACCAGAGUCAAGACAACCUUCCUGACAUUGCUGUUGGGUCCAAGGGAGCAGUUCUGCUUCUCAGGUCCAGACCCAUCAUGCUCUUGGAAACCAAAGUAACUUACAACCCAACCAAGAUACCAACCGGUGAAACAGACCAGUCACUGGAAAACACCAUGAAAGUGUGUUUCACCAUGCGUCCAUACGGACACCGCAUAAGAGACCUAUCCGCAAAUAUUAAUUACACCAUAAUGCUGGAUGCCAAGCGACAGAAAUAUCGAGCAAACUUCCCACCCAAAAACCGGCUUCUCAGUGAUGUGCUGAACAUUGGAUUGAAUGCAGAAACUUGCAGAAGUCAUCAUUUCUUUAUAGACGCUUUCUCAGAAGAUGCUCUAAACCCAGUGUCCACUCAGUUAACAUUCACUUUUGAGGGUCUACCAUCUAGAACAAUGCAAAACAUAAAGCCAAUACUGCUGCCAGAGAUAAAGACCACCACAGACUACAAUCUGGAUUUUGAGAUAAACUGUGGACAUGAUGAUAUUUGUGUUGAUGACCUCAGGAUGGAUUUCAAUUUCUCUGGGGCUACAAACAUAGAGGUUGGGUUAAUGCAGGAGAUCAAUGUGACAGUGUUUGUAGAGAACAGAGGAGGAAACUCAUACAACACUCUCUUCACCCUCAAAUACCCCUUUGGACUUUCCUACAGGAGAAUCACAUCUAAACAGGGCAGAGUGGAGUGUGUAUCUCUGGACAGUGAGCAAAGAGGUUCAUUUGGAGAAACCACCUGCCACAUCAGUAAACCCAUCCUCAAGGGCAACGCUCAGGAUGUGUUUUAUAUUACAUACAGCAUCGAUAAGGAAAGCACCUUCGAUCAAAAUGUGAAUUUCACCGCUCAGAUCAACAGUGGGAAUGACCAACACUCUCAAACCAGUGAAUUAUUCAGGUGGAAGAGCAUUGGUGUCAAAUAUGCCAUUAACAUUGCCUUAAUAAGACAUGAAGAUUCAAGCCUGCACAUUAAUUUUACUGCACAGAAAAAUGAUUCUGAUAAACCAGUCAAACAGAUCCUAAAGGUUGAAAAUGACUUUAGAGAAUUAACAUUCAAAGUUUCCAUCAGAGUACCAGUGAUUCUGGGAGAUAAAUUCAUCUGGACUGACAAAAACCUACAGAUCCCAGAGUGUGAAACAGAGGGAUGAGCGGCCGCUUGUAACAGAUUUUGUGGAAGUAAUUAAAAAGGAUCGUGUGGUGAACUGCUCUGUGGCGGUGUGUGCCGUGUUCAGCUGUGACGGCACUCUCAUAAAGAAUAAAAGGAAACUCUAUAAUAUAUCUGGCAACGUGAGCUCUGGAUGGAUAGAGCAGACUGGACUCAGAGCUGCUGUGUUUCAGUUGGUCAGUUCAGCGUCUCUGGAUUAUGACGAGAGCAAAUACGUUUUCUUUUCCUCUGAUCCUCAACACACUGCACCGUCUCUCCAGAUUAACACUCAAGUGGAGGUGUAUGAGGAGGCGAACCUGACCAAAGAGAUCCUUGGAGGGGUGAUAGGAGGACUGGCUGUCCUCACAGCGGCCUUCUAUAAGGCUGGGUUCUUCAAAAGCCAGUACAAGCAGAUACUGCUGGAGGUGCAGCGGGAUGCAGGAGGAGAGCCAAACAUGACACAAUAAUGUGCACUCAAAUAUCUCAUAAGAUAUAUGUACUGAUUGUGUUUUGUGGGCUUGAGAAUGAAACGUGAAUAUAUUUAACACCUCAGUGUAGCAAAAUAUUUCAGCCUAAUUUAGAACACUUUAUGAAUGUUCAAUGAUAACACAAUGAUAAUCAGACAAACUUAAGAAUGACAAAACUGAACAUAACUCUGACACAUAUCUCUUCUAAUGACUGAGUAUAAACUCUUUUCCUCACAUGCACACGGUUUUUGAGAUUUUUUUUUUUAUUACUAGGUUUCUUCAGAUUUACUCUGGGUGUAUUUUGAAAAUGUUUUAUUGCUUAAUAUAAAGAUAUUGUUUAUUUUGCUUAGCAGAUAUUGUUGCGUUAUAUAUAUACAUUAUGGCACUUAUUGUCAAGGAAAGCAACAAAAAAAUAAAAAUAAAAUAAUUUUGUCAUUAUCCAUUAUACUUAUUUUUGUCCCAUUAUUUGGUUACACUUUUUUUUAAUGUGUCCCUAUUACUGUGUAAUUAUACAUAUAAGUACUGAGUAAUAUUAAUUAAGUACAUGUACUUAAUUUAGGGUUAGGGUAGGAUUAGGGUUUGGUUUAGGGUUAGUUUCAUGUAAUUAUGCCUAAUAUAUGGUUAUUACUAUAGUAAAUACAAGUAACGUGUAACAAGGAUACAUUAAAUAAAGUGUUACCAAUAAUUAUUAUGCAUAACUUAAUUUGUGUAUGGAAUAAACAUUUGAGUAUGAAAGUAA